AAUUGUGUGUGGAGAAAGGCUGGCAGCUUUACAGAGGAAAUUUCAGAACCUGUACAUAAGGUCAGAAUAAGAAACUGCCUUAACUUCCCUUCCCCCAAACAACUGUUUUUACUGAGUCUCAUUAAAUGGCCCUAAGUGUAGGACAUUAAAUGUAUUUAUGGUAGAGUGAGAGUUUUGUUCUGAGUCACUGGUGCAUCAAGAGUUGCUUCAUAACCUUCUUCUGGUUGCCUAACACAGUGAGACAGGCUCGAGAGGCACGGACUCCGAUGUCUCGUGGGAGCAGUCCUUGAACCCGAUUGUCAGAGAUCUGAAGGUGCCUAAUCUCCUGCAGAACUGAGCAGAACUUCAUGUUCCUAAGUGGGAUUCAUGUCUUCUUUAAAAGAAGCAGGGAAGAUCUACCCUGCAAAAUGAGAAAGUGGUAUUACUUCCACACUGAGAAGCUGGCUGUUACCUCAUAUAUCUGCCACUUUCCCAUUUAA
rnacentral:lncRNA from 1 species